UCAAGCGGUAGCGCGUUUGCUUGGCAUGCGUGCAGCCCGGGUUUGAUCCUCAACACCACAUACAAACAAAGAUGUUGUGUCCGCCGAAAACUAAAAAACUAAAAAAAAAUUAAAUAAAUAAAUAAAUAUUAAAAAAAAAAAAAAAAAACAUGGUUGGGUGUGUUGGCACAUGCCUGUAACACUUGGCAAUUCAAGAGGCUGAAGCAGGGGAUCAAAAAUUUGAGGCCAGCUUCAGCAACUUAGCUAAGUUCUGAGCAAUUCUGACCCUGUCUCAAAAUAAAAAAUAAAAAAGGGCUGGUGAUAUAGCUUAGUAAUAAAGAACCCUUGGGUUCAAUCUCCAGUAUCAACAAAAUGAAACAAUAAACAAAGACAGGUGUGACAGCAUCAUAACCCUAAGACUCAGGAGACUGAAGCAGGGAUAUCCCAAGCUUGAGGGCUUCCUUGGCAAUUUAAAGACCCUGUCUCCAAAACCAAGGUUGGGAAUGUAGCUCAGUGGUAGAGCUCCUCUGGGUUUAAUCCUCAUAUAGGGGGAAAAAAACAAUAACCAUGUACCUAUCACCCAGCUCAAUGAAUCGACUGAUUUUGUGCCUUAUGUGCAUCAGAUUUCAUUUCUAAGUAGUAAAAUAUUAUAAUUCAAAAGCAUUAUUUAUAUUUUAAAGCUUUAUGUUGAUCAGAUCAUGUUGGCAAUACAACUUACCUUUCUCAUGUAACAGUAUGGACGUGAGAUUUAUCCUUGGUGAUUUUUUUUUUUUUAGAAAAACGAAAAAGAAGUUUCCUUGCUUUGCUAGAAAAUACAGGGGACUCCUGUCCCAGAGGCUGUGAUUCUGCCCAUCACGGGGAACAGGGGGUUUUUAAAGAAGUGAUUCAAAGGCUACAUUCCAGGGUUUUCGGCAGACACAACAUCUUUGUUUGUAUGUGGUGCUGAGGAUCGAACCCCGGCCGUACGCAUGCCAGGUGAGCGCGCUACCGCUUGAGCCACAUCCCCAGCCCCACAAUUUGUUCUUUAAAAUACUUAUCACAAUUUGGUCUCCUUUUGGUGGACAUCUUAGGUUUUUUGGGUACAAUUUCAUUCCAAAAUGAGGCACAGCGAAUACUCCUGACAUGUUGUUAAUCUUAUUUAAAAAUGCUUUUGAGUAGUUAAGGAAAUAUAUUGGUACAUUCAUCCUUAAAUGGUAGAUAUAUAUAUAUAUAUAUAUAUAUAUAUAUAUAUACACACACACACACACACAAUUUUUUAAAUUUAUUUUUUAGUUAUAGGUUGACACAAUAUUUUUAUUUUAUUUUUAUAUGUUGCUGAGGAUCGAACCCGGUGCCUCACGCAUGGUAGUUGAGCGCUCUACCUCUGAGCCACAACACCUGCCCUAUAUAUACAAAAUGUUUUGAACAUUGUUGUUUUCACAUAUCCAUAUAUUUUGGAUCAUUCUAUGAGUAUGCAGAAAGCUAUUUUAUUUUUCUUGAGAUUGCUUCACUCUUCUGCUAUUAUAAAUAAAUGGCAAUAAACAGCCUUGUACAAAUGUUUUAUCUUUCCUAUACAAAUGUAUCUAUAAGAUUAAAAUCCUGUAGUAAAACUGCUACAAAGAAUUUGUAUUUAGAGUUUUCAUAAACACUGCCAAAAUGCCUCAAAGAGAUUUAUUAAAUUUACCUAUUCCUCAGCAGCCCACGAAACACUUCUUGACCUUUCCCUUUGGUAAUGUAGUAUUCUGAGACUUUUUGAUCUUUGAAUUAUUAUUAUUAUUAUUAUUAUUAGUAGUAGUAGUAGUAUUAGUAUUAGUAUUCUAUUACUAAGGAUUGAAUCCAGGAGGCUUAACCACUGAGCCACAUCCUCAGCCCAUUUUAUAUUUUAUUUGGAGACAGGGUCUUGCUGAGUUGCUAAGUGCCUUGCUAAUCUGCUGAGGCUGGCUUUGAACUCACAAUCCUCCUGCUGGGAUUACAGGUGUGCAUCACUGUGCCUGGCAAAGUAUUUUUUUAAUGUUUGGUUAAAAAGUAAUUUUAUAUUUUAAUGACAGAAAAUAAAAUGAAAAUGAGAUUUUUGUGUUAUAAAAUUUACUAUCACUGCUUACAAAUAAAGUUUUAUUGGAACAUAAUCACACCUGUUUAUUUACACAUUGUGUAUGCCUUCUUUUACACCACAGGGCAGAGUUGAUGCAACAAAGAUUGUAUGACCUGCAAAACUUAAGAUAUUUACUUACUAUCUGGCUCCUUACAGAAAGUUGUCGACCUAUUUUAGAAUUUGUUUCUUCUUUUUUUAAUUUUAAUUUUUUGGUAUUAUGGAUUGAAGCCAGGGCCUUGUGCAUACUAAAUACAGGCUGAGAACAGGCUCUACCACUGAGCUAUAUCUCCAGCCCUGGUGCAAGCAAUUUAAAGAUAUAAAUUUCCAUUAAGACCUAUGUUAGCUGCAUCCUAACAAAUUCUGAUCAGUUUUCAUUGUCAUUUAGGUCAAGAUAUUUUCUAGUUUCUCUGACAAUUGUUUUUUUUUUUUUUUUGGAUCCUGAAGCUAUUGUCAAAUUUCAAAUAUAUGAGGAUUUUCCAGCUUUUUAAAAAUAUUUAAUUUGGGGUGAUGGGGCUUAAAGGCAGGGCCUUACCCUUCUUGUCAAAUGCUCUUUCUUAAAUAUUUUUUUGUUAAUGAUUUCUAACUUAAUUCUACUGUGGUCAGAGAACAUACGCUAUAUGAUUUCAAUCCUCUUAAAUUCAGUGAGAGUUAAUUUAUGUUCUAAAAUAUGGUCUUUCUUGAAGGACAAUGUGCACCUGAAAAGAAUAUUAAAAAGUAUAUAUUCUGCA